CCACCAUCGUAGAUCGUCUCUCCCGCCUCCUCUCCAUGUCUCCUUCCCGAUCUCUUCCCUUCUACGCCAUCUUUUGAAUGUGGAAGGAACUCGGUCUUCCCGACGACUUCGAGGAUUCGAUCAUCGUCCAGAAUCCUACUAUCUUCUCACUCCGGGAUAACCUAUGGGAGCCCAACACCUAUCUAUUAGAGCUUGUCGAGGUAAACCCCUACCUUAAUUUCACACCGGUGGUGGAGGAGUGGCGGUAUCAAAAGAUGACCAG
rnacentral:lncRNA from 1 species